AACGAACGCUGGCGGCAUGCCUAACACAUGCAAGUCGAACGAGACCUUCGGGUCUAGUGGCGCACGGGUGCGUACCGCGUGGGAACCUGCCCUUAGGUUCGGAAUAACUCCCCGAAAGGGGUGCUAAUACCGGAUAAUGUCUUCGGACCAAAGAUUUAUCGCCUUUGGAUGGGCCCGCGUUGGAUUAGCUAGUUGGUAGGGUAAAAGCCUACCAAGGCGACGAUCCAUAGCUGGUCUGAGAGGAUGAUCAACCACACUGGGACUGAGACACGGCCCAGACUCCGACGGGAGGGAGCAGUGGAGAAUAUUAGACAAGGGGCGAAAGCCUGAUCCAGCAGUGCGGGGUGAGUGAUGAAGGCCUUAGUGUUGUAAAGCUCUUUUAGCCGAGAUGAUAAUGACAGUACCGGGAGAAUAAGCUCCGGCUAACUCCGUG
rnacentral:rRNA from 1 species